AUUGAACGCUGGCGGCAGGCCUAACACAUGCAAGUCGAACGAGUGGCGGACGGGUGAGUAAUUUCUGGGAAACUGCCUGAUGGAGGGGGCUAACUACUGGAAACGGUAGCUAAUACCGCAUACCAUCAGAUGUGCCCACAUGGGAUUUGCUAGUUGGUGGGGUAACGGCUCACCAAGGCGACGAUCCCUAGCUGGUCUGAGAGGAUGACCAGCCACACUGGAACUGAGAAACGGUCCAGACUCCUACGGGAGGCAGCAGUGGGGAAUAUUGCACAAUGGGCGAAAGCCUGAUGCAGCCACGCCGCGUGUAUGAAGAAGGCCUUCGGGUUGUAAAGUACUUUCAUCGGGGAGGCGUUACCCGCAGAAGAAGCACCGGCUAACUCCGUGCCAGCAGCCGCGGUAAUAC
rnacentral:rRNA from 1 species